AAUUGUCGUUAAGUGUCUUGCCCAAGGACACAUGCGCCCACAAUGGUAGCAGCGAUGAGGCUUGAACCCAAUUACCUCUGGAUUAUAGGCAGGCUCGCUAACCACUAAGCAACGGCUCCGGUUAGUACGCUAAUUAACAUACAAGUUCGCCUCAAUACCAAACCACAUAAGAUAUAUACAAAACACUACCCAUUAAGUUAGCCUCGAGCACGAAGUUAAUUUGUUCCUUCACGUACAAUCAUAUAUUAACUACGUCAUGAGAUGUAUUUUCGUUUGCACGCCAAACUAUCCUCAUGACUCAACAAAAACUACAAAUGCAUGUUUCACCAAUCUUAACGGAAGACGUGCUUUGCUGUCAUACAAGGCAUUAUGACGUCAUAAAGUGUUUUUAUCAAGCGUUCGCUCGGCGGAAGUGGUGAUUUAAUUAGGAAACAAACAAAAGAGCAAAGUUCGGUUAGAAGUCACUAAGAUUUUGCACGAGGUGUAUAUUUAGGUUGGCAAGAAAAAAAUGUUCGAUGGGCAAAGAAGGAAAUCUUUACGGUAAUAGUGUAUAGUGUGUGAUUUUUAUUCGGAAAGUCAGUGAGAUAGAGAAUCUAAACAAGUAUAACAGGUUAGCGCGGUUCGUUUGUGGUUGUUUUUUGAAGUACACCGUAGAUUAGUGUGGUUAACGAAAUCACGCUUUUAAACGGAAAAGAAUUUUCCGAAAUUUAAUAUAAUCGGUAAACAGGGUUUCGUAUUUAAAGUUAAAUAGCAGACUGUGCACCAGAGAAAAGAAAAUAAGCGACAAACAUUGUACCAGAUCGUGAGAUAAACAACAAACUGUGUACUGAAUAGAAAUAAGCGACAAACAGUGUACCGAAUAGAACUAAACGACAAACAGUGUACCGGUUCGUAAAAUAAACGAAAACAGUGUACCGAAUAUAAAUAAGUGACAAACAGUGUACCAAAUAGAAAUAAACUACAAACAGUGUACCGAAUAGAAAUAAACGACACACAGUGUACCGAAUAGAAAUAAACGACAAACAGUGUACCGAAUAGAAAUAAACGACAAACAGUGUACCGGUUCGUGGGAUAAACGACAGACAGUGUACCGGUUCGU